GCCAGAGAGAAUGGGACUGACCAAGUUAGACAAGGUUGUUAAUUGCUCUUUGUGCUGGGUAACUGUUAGUCUCUCAAUGAGAAACGUGUAUCCAGCGGCCAGUGCUCAAGCAAUGUAAAUGAUAGCAGCAUCCUUGCUUCUCCUUUGCCCUUAAUCUCCUUCUGGAGGCUUGACAAUAAACAGCCAUUCCCCAUCUAUUUUGCAACUUCGAACUCAGCCCCCAUCAAAAGUAAUUAGAUUGCUUUACAUUCAUCCUUUAUGUUCUUGAGCUAAUAGAUGGCUCCUGCAACUCAAAGGGGAGUUCAUUUUUCUGGCUGCCUAUGAGGGACUGAGAAACUGUCAUCUCUGGUCAGCACAGCUCAGUUGUUAGCUGAAUGCCUUGGCAGGGACUGGGGACAUCCACAAAACAUGCAGCCUUUAUACUCUGUAAGAAAGCUGGUGUUUUUACGGUCUAGCAGAGCCCUUCAGCUCUUGGAGUUUCAGUUUCCCCAUCUGUGAGAUGGGCUUCUGCAAAAGAUUUGUUGAUUCAGCAAAUAUUUGUAACUUAUACCACAGCUUUGACCUUGAGAGAGCCAGUAGCCUCUCUGUGAGUCACUUCCCCACUUUUAACAUAGAGGAAAUAAGAAAAUUGCAGUCAGGUGGCUGCCCCUUUUGCCUGUAUUUAGCAGCCUUUCCAGGCAACCAGGGUUGGUUGGUAGGGAGUUUGUAGUCAUAUAUCCAGUAGAGCUGAAGCAGCACAGAUAACAAGCACCAUCUGAAAUAGCAUUUGACACAAUGGGAACCAGACUGAAGAUUCAGUGAUGUGGAUGCCUUGUUCCCAGGGCUGCGAGCAAGGGGAGGAGAUUUCCAUGAAGAUGGAGAUGUCCUGGGACGCGAGUGCUCUCUGUGAUGGAUCCUUGUUUAAAAGGCGGGCCUCAUUCACAUUCUAUGAUCUGUGGAGUUUCUUACUUCAUAAAUGGUGUCACCAGGGAAGAAAGUGGUUUUCAACACGAGUGAAUGUGACAGCAUCUGGGACUCUAGUGAAGUCUAGCCUACUCUGAACUGGGAAUUGAAGAAGCUUAACCCUGCUCUGUGAGUCACUGGCAGAAUCAGGACAAAAACAAGAAUCUCUUGUUACCAGCUCUGUGAUCCAAACUCUGCUGUCCCAACCUUUCAUUAACACAGUGGUAGCGCUUAGAGAUUUGGUCUGUUUUUCUGCAGGAUAAACUUUCACCUAUUUUUGUGGUAGGCAGGAACUCCUCGCCUCUCCUUGCUCUUCAUUAACUGUCUCUGCUCCCAUAAACACUAGGAGUGCUGGGCUCCAGCUGGCUGGUGUGGGCACGAAACAGCGAAUGCUGGCAAACGCCAAAUGUUUGUUGCCCACUGGGCUGCCCCUAGCCUCUCACCUGGGUAGGCAUCCCCCCACAGCUCUUCCAGUUGUUUUCAGUGGGAUGCUGCAACCCAAUGUGAGCAUAUUAGAAGGCUGUGAGUCAGGCCUCCUAGAAGAGUCAUGCAUGACUUAAAAUCACAAGGAUGAUCAAAAACAAUAAAAUGCAUGUUUUCUAUUUGCCUCUGGGCUUUCUGAAGUUAAGGCACACCCGCGAAGGCUAGAAACUCGGGGCACUCAUUUUUCAUGAGCUGCGUGCAAGGCCUUUUCUCUUCCUUCUUUUUUCUGUUUUACUGAAACGCUUACAAUAAAAUGACCAGAAUUGGCAACAUUGGUUCUAUUGCUGAAAGUACUCCAUGAAAUCAAAUGAGAGAUUUACCUUUUCUGUCCAAAAAGUGGGAUUUGAUUUUUUGCAACAACAAAAUUACUCCAUGUUUGGAUAUAUAGGACUACUUUAGGAAAAUAUAGAUAGCUUUUGCUGAGAUUUUGUUUUUAGGUUGUCAGUGGCUUGGUGUUGGAUAAAAGUCACAAUAAGGCUGAUUGUCCCCCUGACAUUGUACCUUCAGCACACGGCUGACUGUGCCAUGGCUUUGGCUUUGGCUUGGCAUGUUUACCUCUUCUUUUUGCAUUCAGGUGGCUUGGUGCGAUUCGGCUGAUCACAUUCUUAGAAUCAUAGAAUGGUUUGGGUUGGAAGGGACCUUUAAGAUCAUCUCUUUCCAACCCCCCUGCCUAUAGCAGGUGUCUAGUGGGACACCUCCCACUAGACUAGGUUCUUAAUGUUCUUAUUCCAAGCUUUCUCUCAUUUUUCCUCCUCCCUAAAUGAAUUCUGAGCCUUAUAGCAAGACGCUAGAAAGGCUGAGCUUGGCAUACCCCACCAUUCAGACUAAACAACUGGCUGGCAGCCGUGCUCUUGGAUAAAUGGGAAUGCUGCAAAAUGAGUGUGCAGCUCAGCCAGGUGGGUGAAAGACUCCAUCCAAGAGUAAGGAAAGACUCUAAGAGUAAGUCAUGCGUUCCCUUGGGAACUCAUUGCUGUCCCAAACAUUACCUCUCUGUGCUUCCUGUGCUAGAUGCAGUUCCUA